GCCAUCAACACAUUUGUGAAGGAAUUUUUACUCCCCAAAAGAGCGCCCCCCCAUGGCAGGAGAAAAAAGUCCAUUUUUUCUUGUCCCAUAAGGUGAAAAUACACAUUGUUGAGUGUCACGCCUGUACGCUUUGUCAAAAUGACCCAAAAUUUGACAAUCACGUGUAUCUCAAUAAGAUCUAUGAAAAAGUCAAUGCGCAAAUAUCUGGAAAAUGUACGGUUAAAGGGCUAUUUUGCAUUUUUUGGCGAUUCGCACACAUUGGAAUUUCGCUAAGUCCUCCUAAGGCUUUCGUCCCACUGACACCAAAUUUGCUCAGGCCAAUCUACACCCCAUGGCCAUUAAAAGUUGUACAAAUCAUGACGCUGCACCCCACGGUUUACCUUCUAGGGGGCGCCAAAGAUGACCCAAAUAUCCACAUUCUUAAAAGAAUCCACAUCCCCCCUCCCCCCAUGGCAGGAGAAAAAGUCAAGUUUUUCCUUCCCAUCGCUCAAUGGCUCAAUCGCAUCGCUCUCUCGGCAAAAGCGAAAGGUGGAUCCAUUUGGAUAUAUCCUAGCUGUGUUUGUGCCCUCACUCAUGGUCCAGACUUUUUUCAAAUAGGACAUGUAGUUUGUCUGCAGCGAGUGUUUUGGUAGAAACUGCGCCUCCCAUUCAUUAUAAUGGGAAAUGACCACAGACAAGUGCGCACUCCAUCUUUGGACCUUGAGUGUGACGCGAUCGGGAGGUGGAGGCGGUCGCGCUGGGGGCGGCACGACACGGCUCGGGCCCGACAGUGCCCCACCGGGGCCCUAGUUAUUAUUUUUCCUCCGCUUUAAACUGGAAAAUGGCCCACUUCCCACUGGCGAAAACUCAUGAAAUUUGGCAGGACGACCGGGCCUGGUGAAAAAUUCGAUAUUCUGAAGUCGCCCAAACAAGAAAAUGCAAAAUGGCUCCAUAGCGCCCCCUAAGGUGAAAAUUCACACUAUUGACUGUCACGCCUGUACGCUUUGUCAUAUUGACACAAAAAUUGACACACACAUGUAUCUCAAUAAGAUCUACAAAAAAGUCAGUGCGGGUGUAUCUGUCAAAUGUACGGUUAAAGGGUUAUUUUGCAUUUUUUGCAGAUCCGCACACAUUGGAAUUUCGCUAACUCCUCCGAAGGCUUUCGUUCCACCGGCACCACAUUUGCUCAGGCCAAUCUACACUCCAUGGCCAUUCAAAGUUGUACAAAUCAUAAUGCUGCACCCCAUGGUUUAGGUUCUAGGGGGCGCCAAAAAUAACCCAAAAAUCCACAUUCUUAAAAGUUUUAUAAAUUUUUUUUUUUGUCCUCACUGGCCUCCAAGUUUUCUAGGAUGAUGCAAUGUCCAGCCAUCAACACAUUUGUGAAGGAAUUUUUACUCCCCAAAAGAGCGCCCCCCCAUGGCAGGAAUAAAAAGUCCAUUUUUUCUUGUCCCCUAAGGUGAAAAUACACAUUGUUGAGUGUCACGCCUGUACGCUUUGUCGUAUUGACAAAAAAUUUGACACACACGUGUAUCUCAAUAAGAUCUACGAAAAAGUCAAUGGGCGCGUAUCUGUAAAAUGUACGGCUAAAGGGCUAUUUUGCAUUUUUUGCCGAUUCGCACACAUUGGAAUGUGGCUAACUCCUCCUAAGGCUUUCGUCCCACUGACACCAAAUUUGCUCAGGCCAAUCUACACCCCAUGGCCAUUCAAAGUUGUAAAAAUCAUGCCGCUGCACCCCAUGGUUUACGUUCUAGGGGGCGCCAAAGAUGACCCAAAUAUCCACAUUCUUAAAAGUCGUUUUGGCCACUGCAGGAGUACAGAGUACUGCAGGAUACACACACACAGACACACACACACACAGACACACACACACACACACACACACACACACACACACACACACACUCAGAGUCUGUUUUUUAGCACCUGCAAAAACAUGCUAUUUACAUAUUUGACAACAAUGCAGAGGCUUCCUUUUGCCCCUGAAAAAAAUCAAAUUUCUAACACAACUUGACUGCUCAUUUCUCCAAAAGACAACCAUGAAGCUCCAUCCAAACCUGAAGCAGGCAGUUGGUGCAUGUGUACAGUAACCUGAGGGGAGUGAGGUGACUGCUUAUGAGGAGAACAUGAGCAGUGAAGAUUCACCUUGGAGCGAGAACAGGGACGUGCACAUGAUUAUACGGGGGCAGGGGCUCAAGUUUUUUCCAGUCGUUUAUACAAUAUGGAAAUUAAUGUGAAAUUAAAAAACAAAGUAUUAAUAGAAAGGUAAUGACUGUCCUGUGUAGGUGACAGUGAUAUCCAAUAGGCUAGGCACUCACAAGGCUGGCUGUGGCAAGUGUAAGUGAAAGCAACACGCACUGGCAGGAAGAACAGCAAACGCCGAUGAAGGAAAAGGGUCUUUGCAGUGAUGGGCGUUACCAGAGAGGACGAUGGCCAGAGGACGCGAAUGGGACGGGGAGGCAGCGCGUUGGGGGGGGGGGGGGGGGGGGACACAGCUCGGGCCCGCCAGUGCCCCAACGGGGCCCUAGUUAGGGCCCGAGCGUAGCUGCUAAGCAGCUGCGAGAGCCCUCUUGUUCCUGUAGUUUCCUUCUUUUGUUAUUAGGGCCCGAGCGUAGCUGCUAAGCAGCUGCGAGAGCCCUAUUAUUCCCCAAGUGGUUUUUCUUUGUUUCUUUCUUUCUUCUUUUUUCCUCCCCUUUGAACUGGAAAAUGGCCCACUUCCCACUGGCGAAAACUCAUGAAAUUUGGCAAGAUGACCGGGCCUGGUGAAAAAUUUGAUAUUCCGAAGUCGCCCAAACAAGAAAAUGCAAAAUGGCUCCAUAGCGCCCCCUAAGGUGAAAAUUCACACUAUUGACUGUCACGCCUUUACGCUUUGUCAAAAUGACACAAAAAUUGACACACAUAUGUAUCUCAAUAAGAUCUACAAAAAAGUCAGUGCGGGCGUAUCUGUCAAAUGUAUGGUUAAAGGGCUAUUCCGCAUUUUUUGCCGAUCCGCACACAUUGGAAUUUCGCUAACUCCUCCGAAGGCUUUCGUUCCACCGGCACCACAUUUGCUCAGGCCAAUCUACACCCCAUGGCCAUUAAAAGUUAUUCAAAUCAUGACGCUGCACCCCACGGUUUACGUUCUAGGGGGCGCCAAAGAUAACCCAAAAAUCCACAUUUUUAAAAGUCUUAUAACUUUUUAUUUUUGUCCUCACUGGCCUCCAAGUUUUCUAGGAUGAUGCAAUGUCCAGCCAUCAACACAUUUGUGAAGGAAUUUUUACUCCCUAAAAGAGCGCCCCCCAUGGCAGGAGAAAAAAGUCCAUUUUUUCUUGUCCCCUAAGGUGAAAAUACACAUUGUUGACUGUCACGCCUGUACGCUUUGGCAAAAUGACACAAAAAUUGACAAUCAUGUGUAUCUCAAUUAGAUCUACGAAAAAGUCAAAGAGCGCGUAUCUGUAUAAUGUACGGUAAAAGGGCUAUUUUGCAUUUUUUGCCGAUUCGCACACAUUGGAAUUUCGCUAACUCCUCCUAAGGCUUUCGUCCCACUGACACCAAAUUUGCUCAGGCCAAUCUACACUCCAUGGCCAUUCAAAGUUGUAAAAAUCAUGACGCUGCACCCCACGGUUUACGUUUUAGGGGGCGCCAAAGAUGACCCAAAUAUACAUUACAGUAGACAAAGUAGUUUUGCCCACUGAGUGGCGCCAAAGGGACUUGUCUGUGGAGUCUGUGAGUCACUAUUGGCCGUUUUUGACUACUUUAGAUUUUACCUUUAUAUUUCCUCUUACAAAAUUUUUACCUUGCCUUGCCUGGUAUCAUUUUUUUCAGCACAACCUCACCUGUGUCAAUUUACAGUUAUUUUAUCAUUUUGACAUACUAUAUUUACACAUUGGACCCAAAUUCACACACAAAACAUAAAAUCCGAGUGGAAAAAAGUAACGUUUUUACUGUGAAAACCACAAAUAUGUGUGAUGAACUGUUUUUAAAACUUAAACUUCAAAUAAAAAUUGUAAACUUCAAAACAUAUGCAAAUUUUUAACAAAGAACAUAGUAAUUUACCUCUAUUGACAUCAAAAUGCAGGCAAUGGCCCAGGUGUUCUUUGUAAAAUUAUUUACAAAACACUGUAUAGUCUCACAAAUGUCACUUUUUAUUUAUGCCACUACAAAAAAACAUGAUGUAAAUGAUGCAUGAUGUAAAACAUGAUGUAAAAAACUUGUGUAGAUCCUCCUCUAUGUUAGUCCAUGUGUAAUUUUUCCAUAAUUCUUUGUUUUUUGCAGCAUUUUUGUUAGUGUAACUGCAGAUUGUGCUGACAGUGUCUAUGGCAAAAAAAAAAAAAAAAAAAACUGAAAAUGCCUCAACAUGAACCCCUGGUGGUCUCUGAGGGUGAAACCUGCUAACUGCUGCAGCUCUGUCAGCUUCAGUCUCCCAUGCAGAGCUCGGAGCCCAUGUGUGGCUCUGCACCCUUAGCAGCGUUGCUAACUCCUCAGUAAGGAAAGCCUGCUUCAUGUCAGAGUCUCUAAACUCCAGAAGAAGUCGAUAAAAGUCACUUUCUUUCUAAAAAAAGUCGUUAGGGGGUCUGAAAAGUCAUUGAAUCUAACAACAAAGUCGCUAGGUUUGCAACUACGUGUCCCAGACUGCAUCCCUGCUGAGAGUCCCUCCCUCCCUUCUCAUAUUGCAGGAAGAACGUAAGUUCCCGCCCCUUGUCAAUCAGUCACCAUAUAAUUUUGGAUUGGUUGUUGUGGUGAAGUUUUCCACCAAUAGGAGAGAUGUUGUGGUGUGUAUUUUUUUUCCUUUGGCAAGCCUUUUCCGCCUGUAAGACCUGUCGCUAAUGUCUGCAUGCUAUGUUUUCCUGUCUCAUACAGCGCGAUCGAGCGCCGAACGUGAUCAAAAUAAGCAGAAAACAAGUAUCGCGGACAUAAUUUAUCAUAACUCUGGUUUUAUUUGGCCUAUCAACACAAUUUAAAAACUGGUAUAUAGGUUGAGGUCCUCACUUUUGAGAUAAGUUGAAACGGAGAGUCAACGAGGCUCCGUCUUGCAGCUACAUCCGGUUAAAUAUGUCAUGUGACUUGAACGCACACACACACACACACACAGACACACACACACACGCACACACACACACUCAGAGUCUGGUUUGUAGCACCUGCAAAAACAUGCUAUUUACAUAUUUGACAAGAAUGCAGAGGCUCCUUUUGCCCCUGAAAAAAAUCAAAUUUCAAACACAACUUGACUGGUCAUUUCUCCAAAAGACAACCAUGAAGCUCCAUCCAAACCUGAAGCAGGCAGUUGGUGCAUGUGUACAGUAACCUGAGGGGAGUGAGGUGAGUGCUUCUGAGGAGAACAUGAGCAGUGAAGAUUCACCUUGGAGCUAGAACAGAGACGUGCACAUGAUUAUACAGGGGCAGGGGCUCAAGUUUUUUCCAGUCGUUUAUACAAUAUGGAAAUUAAUGUGAAAUUAAAACACAAAGUAUUAAUAGAAAGGUAAUGACUGUCCUGUGUAGGUGACAGUGAUAUCCAAUAGGCUAGGCACUCACGAGGCUGGCUGUGGCAAGUGUAAGUGAAAGCAACACGCACUGGCAGGAAGAACAGCAAACGCCGAUGAAGGAAAAGGGUCUUUGCAGUGAUGGGCGUUACCAAAGAGGGCGAUGGCCAGAGGACACAAAUGGGACGGGGAGGCAGCGCGUUGGGGGGGGGACGCGACACAGCUCGGGCCCGCCAGUGCCCCAACGGGGUCCUAGUUAGGGCCCGAGCGUAGCUGCUAAGCAGCUGCGAGAGCCCUCUUGUUCCUGCAUGUUUCCUUCUUUCGUUAUUAUUUUUCCUCCGCUUUAAACUGGAAAAUGGCCCACUUCCCACUGGCGAAAACUCAGGAAAUUUGGCAGGACGACCGGGCCUGGUGAAAAAUUCGAUAUUCUGAAGUCGCCCAAACAAUAAAAUGCAAAAUGGCUCCAUAGCGCCCCCUAAGGUGAAAAUUCACAUGACGGCUGUACGCUUUGUCAUAUUGACACAAAAAUUGACACACACAUGUAUCUCAAUAAGAUCUACAAAAAAGUCAGUGCGGGCGUAUCUGUCAAAUGUACGGUUAAUGGGUUAUUUUGCAUUUUUUGCAGAUCUGCACACAUUGGAAUUUCGCUAACUCCUCCGAAGGCUUUCGUUCGACCGGCACCACAUUUGCGCAGGCCAAUCUACCCCCCAUGGCCAUUAAAAGUUGUACAAAUCAUGACGCUGCACCCCACGGUUUACGUUCUAGGGGGCGCCAAAGAUAACCCAAAAUCCACAUUCUUAAAAGUCUUAUAACUUUUUAUUUUUGUCCUCACUGCCCUCCAAGUUUUCUAGGAUGAUGCAAUGUCCAGCCAUCAACACAUUUGUGAAGGAAUUUUUACUCCCCAAAAGAGCGCCCCCCCAUGGCAGGAGAAAAAAGUCAAUUUUUUCUUGUCCCCUUACAUGAAAAUACACAUUGUUGAGUGUCACGCCUGAACGCUUUGUCAUAUUGACACAAAAAUUGACAAUCAUGUGUAUCUCAAUUAGAUCUACGAAAAAGUCAAAAAGCGCGUAUCUGUAUAAUGUACGGUUAAAGGGCUAUUUCGCAUUUUUUGCUGAUUCGCACACAUUGGAAUGUGGCUAUCUCCUCCUAAGGCUUUCGUCCCACCGAUACCAAAUUUGCUCAGGGCAAUCUACACCCCAUGGCCAUUCAAAGUUGUAAAAAUCAUGACGCUGCACCCCACGGUUUACGUUCUAGGGGGCGCCAAAGAUGACCCAAAAAUCCACAUUCUUAAAAGUCUUAUAACUUUUCAUUUUUGUCCUCACUGGCUUCAAAGUUUUCUAGGAUGAUGCAAUGUCUAGCCAUCAACACAUUUGUGAAGGAAUUUUUUCUCCCUAAAAGAGUGCCCCCCCAUGGCAGGAGAAAAAGUCAAGUUUUUCCUGCCCAUCGCUCAAUGGCUCAAACACAUCGCUCUCUCGGAAAAAAACGAAAGGAGGAGGAACUUGCCAUUUGGAUAUAUCCUAGCUGUGUUUGUGCCCUCACUCAUGGUCCAGACUUUUUUCAAAUAGGACAUGUAGUUUGUCUGCAGCAAGCAUUUUGGUAGAAACUGCGCCUCCCAUUCAUUAUAAUGGUAAAUGACCACAGACAAGUGCGCACACCAUCGUUGAACCUUGAGUGUGACGCGAUCGGGAGGGAGAGGCGGUCGUGUUGGGGGAGGCGUGACACAGCUCGGGCCCGCCAGUGCCCCAACGGGGCCCUAGUUCUUUCUUUCUUUAGGGCCCGAGCGUAGCUGCUAAGCAGCUGCGAGAGCCCUCUUGUUCCUGUAGUUUCCUUCUUUAGGGCCCGAGCCAGCUGCAGAGCAGCCGGGCGUAGGCCCUAUUAUUCCCCAAGUGGUUUUUCUUUGUUUCUUUCUUUCUUUCUUUCUUUCUUUCUUUCUUCUUUUUCCUCCCCUUUGAACUGGAAAAUGGCCCACUUCCCACUGGCGAAAACUCAUGAAAUUUGGCAGGACGACCGGGCCUGGUGAAAAAUUCGAUAUUCUGAAGUCGCCCAAACAAUAAAAUGCAAAAUGGCUCCAUAGCGCCCCCUAAGGUGGAAAUUCACACUAUUGACUGUCACGCCUGUACGCUUUGUCAUAUUGACACAAAAAUUGACACACAUAUGUAUCUCAAUAAGAUCUACAAAAAAGUCAGUGCGGCCGUAUCUGUCAAAAUUACGGUUAAAGGGUUAUUUCGCAUUUUUUGCCGAUCCGCACACAUUGGAAUUUCGCUAACUCCUCCGAAGGCUUUCGUUCCACCGGCACCACAUUUGCUCAGGCCAAUCUACACCCCGUGGCCAUUAAAAGUUAUCAAAAUCAUGACGCUGCACCCCAAGGUUUAGGUUCUAGGGGGCGCCAAAGAUAACACUAAAAUCCACAUAUUUAAAAGUCUUAUAACUUUUUAUUUUUGUCCCCACUGGCCUCCAAGUUUUCUAGGAUGAUGCAAUGUCCAGCCAUCAACACAUUUGUGAAGGAAUUUUUACUCCCCAAAAGAGCGCCCCCCCAUGGCAGGAGAAAAAAGUCCAUUUUUUCUUGUCCCCUAAGGUGAAAAUACACAUUGUUGAGUGUAACACCUGUACGCUUUGGCAAAAUGACACAAAAAUUGACACACACAUGUAUCUCAAUAAGAUCUACGAAAAAGUCAAUGCGCGCGUAUCUGGUAAAUGUACGGUUAAAGGGUUAUUCCGCAUUUUUUGCCGAUCCGCACACAUUGGAUUUUCGCUUACUCCUCCGAAGGCUUUCGUUCCACCGGCACCACAUUUGCUCAGGCCAAUCUACACCCCAUGGCCAUUAAAAGUUAUUCAAAUCAUGACGCUGCACCCCACGGUUUAGGUUCUAGGGGGCGCCAAAGAUAACCGUAAAAUCCACAUAUUUAAAAGUCUUAUAACUUUUUAUUUUUGUCCUCACUGGCCUCCAAGUUUUCUAGGAUGAUGCAAUGUCCAGCCAUCAACACAUUUGUGAAGGAAUUUUUACUCCCCAAAAGAGCGCCCCCCCAUGGCAGGAGAAAAAAGUCCAUUUUUUCUUGUCCCCUAAGGUGAAAAUACACAUUGUUGAGUGUCACGCCUAUACGCUUUGUCAAAAUGACACAAAAAUUGACACACACAUGUAACUCAAUAAGAUCUACGAAAAAGUCAAUGCGCGCGUAUCUGUCAAAUGUACGGUUAAAGGGUUAUUCCGCAUUUUUUGCCGAUCAGCACACAUUGGAAUGUGGCUAACUCCUCCUAAGGCUUUCGUUCCACCGGCACCACAUUUUUCUCAGGCCAAUCUACACCCCAUGGCCAUUAAAAGUUAUUCAAAUGAUGACGCUGCACCCCACGGUUUAGGUUCUAGGGGGCGCCAAAGACAACCCUAAAAUCCACAUAUUUAAAAGUCUUAUAACUUUUUAUUUUUGUCCUCACUGGCCUCCAAGUUUUCUAGGAUGAUGCAAUGUCCAGCCAUCAACACAUUUGUGAAGGAAUUUUUACUCCCCAAAAGAGCGCCCCCCAUGGCAGGAGAAAAAAGUCCAUUUUUUCUUGUCCCCUAAGGUGAAAAUACAUAUUGUUGAGAUUCACGCCUAUACGCUUUGUCAUAUUGACACAAAAUUUGACAAUCACGUGCCUUGCCUGGUAUCAUUUUUUUUCAGCACAACCUCACCUGUGCGAAUUUACAGUUAUUUUAUCAUGUUGACAUACUGAAUUUACACAAUGGACCCAAAUUCACACACAAAACAUAAAAUCCGAGUGAAAAAAGUAACGUUUUUACUGUGAAAACCACAAAUAUGUGUGAUGAACUGUUUUUAAAACUUAAAAUUCAAAUAAAAAUUGUAAACUUCAAAACAUAUGCAAAUUUUUAACAAAGAACAUAGUAAUUUACCUCUAUUUACAUCAAAAUGCAGGCAAUGGCCCAGGCAUUCUUUGUAAAAUUAUUUACAAAACACUGUAUAGUCUCACAAAUGUCACUUUUUAUUUAUGCCACUACAAAAAAACAUGAUGUAAAUGAUGCAUGAUGUAAAACAUGAUGUAAAAAACUUGUGUAGAUCCUCCUCUAUGUCAGUCCAUGUGUAAUUUUUCCAUAAUUCUUUGUUUUUUGCAGCAUUUUUGUUAGUGUAACUGCAGAUUGUGCUGACAGUGUCUAUGGCACAAAAAAAAAAAAAAAUUAAAAUGCCUCAACAUGAACCCCUGGUGGUCUCUGAGGGUGAAACCUGCUAACUGCUGCAGCUCUGUCAGCUUCAGUCUCCCAUGCAGAGCUCUGAGCGCAUGUGUGGCUCUGCACCCUUAGCAGCGUUGCUAACUCCUCAGUAAGGAAAGCCUGCUUCAUGUCAGAGUCUCUAAACUCCAGAAGAAGUCGAUAAAAGUCCCUUUCUUUCUAAAAAAAGUCGUUAGGGGGUCUGAAAAGUCAUUGAAUCUAACAACAAAGUCGCUAGGUUUGCAACUACGUGUCCCAGACUGCAUCCCUGCUGACAGUCCCUCCCUCCCUUCUCAUGUUGCAGGAAGAACGUAAGCGCCCGCCCCUUGUCAAUCAGUCACCAUAUAAUUUUGGAUUGGUUGUUGUGGUGAAGUUUUCCACCAAUAGGAGAGAUGUUGUGGUGUGUUUUUUUUUUCUUUUGGCAAGCCUUUUCCGCCUGUAAGACCUGUCGCUAAUGUCUGCAUGCUAUGUUUUCCUGUCUCAUACAGCGCGAUCGAGCGCCGAACGUGAUCAAAAUAAGCAGAAAAAAAGUAUCGCGGACAUAAUUUAUCAUAACUCUGGUUUUAUUUGGCCUAUCAACACAAUUUAAAAACUGGUAUAUAGGUUGAGGUCCUCACUUUUGAGAUAAGUUGAAACGGAGAGUCAACGAGGCUCCGUCUUGCAGCUACAUCCGGUUAAAUAUGUCAUGUGACUUGAACGCACACACAGACACACACACACGCACACACACACACACACACACACACACACACACAUACUCAGAGUCUGGUUUUUAGCACCUGCAAAAACAUGCUAUUUACAUAUUUGACAAGAAUGCAGAGGCUCCUUUUGCCCCUGAAAAAAAUCAAAUUUCAAACACAACUUGACUGGUCAUUUCUCCAAAAGACAACCAUGAAGCUCCAUCCAAACCUGAAGCAGGCAGUUGGUGCAUGUGUACAGUAACCUGAGGGGAGUGAGGUGAGUGCUUCUGAGGAGAACAUGAGCAGUGAAGAUUCACCUUGGAGCUAGAACAGAGACAUGCACAUGAUUAUACAGGGGCAGGGGCUCAAGUUUUUUCCAGUCGUUUAUACAAUAUGGAAAUUAAUGUGAAAUUAAAACACAAAGUAUUAAUAGAAAGGUAAUGACUGUCCUGUGUAGGUGACAGUGAUAUCGAAUAGGCUAGGCACUCACGAGGCUGGCUGUGGCAAGUGUAAGUGAAAGCAACACGCACUGGCAGGAAGAACAGCAAACGCUGAUGAAGGAAAAGGGUCUUUGCAGUGAUGGGCGUUACCAGAGAGGGCGAUGGCCAGAGGACACAAAUGGGACGGGGAGGCAGCGCGUUGGGGGGGGGGCGACACGGCUCGGGCCCGCCAGUGCCCCAACGGGGUCCUAGUUAGGGCCCGAGCGUAGCUGCUAAGCAGCUGCGAGAGCCCUCUUGUUCCUGAUGGAUUCUUCUUUUGUUAUUAUUAGGGCCCGAGCGUAGCUGCUAAGCAGCUGCGAGAGCCCUCUUGUUCCUGAUGGAUUCUUCUUUCGUUAUUUUUCCUCCGCUUUAAACUGGAAAAUGGCCCACUUCCCACUGACGAAAACUCAGGAAAUUUGGCAGGACGACCAGGCCUGGUGAAAAAUUUGAUAUUCUGAAGUCGCUCAAACAAAAAAAUGAAAAAUGGCUCCAUAGCGCCCCCUAUGGUGAAAACUCACCUGACACCUGUACGCUUUGUCAAAAUGACACAAAAUUUGACACACAUGUGUAUCUCAAUAAGAUCUACAAAAAAGUCAGUGUGGGCGUAUCUGUCAAAUGUACGGUUAAAGGGCUAUUUCGCUUUUUUUGCCGAUCCGCACACAUAGGAAUUUCGCUAACUCCUCCGAAGGCUUUCGUUCCACCGGCACCAAAUUUGCUCAGGCCAAUCUACACCCCAUGACCAUUAAAAGUUGUACAAAUCAUGACGCUGCACCCCACGGUUUAGGUUCUAGGGGGCGCCAAAGAUAACCCAAAAAUCCACAUUCUUAAAAGUCUUAUAACUUUUUAUUUUUGUCCUCACUGGCCUCCAAGUUUUCUAGGAUGAUGCAAUGUCCAGCCAUCAACACAUUUGUGAAGAAAUUUUAACUCUCCAAAAGAGCGCCCCCCCAUGGCAGGAGAAAAAAGUCCAUUUUUUCUUAUCCCGAAAGGUGAAAAUACACAUUGUUGACUGUCACGCCUUUACGCUUUGUCAUAUUGACAAAAAAUUUGACAAUCACAUGUAUCUCAAUAAGAUCUAUGAAAAAGUCAAUGGGCACGUAAGUGUAAAAUGUACGGUUAAAGGGCUAUUUUGCAUUUUUUGCCGAUUCGCACACAUUGGAAUGUGGCUAACUCCUCCUAAGGCUUUCGUCCCACUGACACCAAAUUUGCUCAGGCCAAUCUACACCCCAUGGCCAUUAAAAGUUAUUCAAAUCAUGAUGCUGCACCCCACGGUUUAGGUUCUAGGGGGCGCCAAAGAUAACCCAAAAAUCCACAUAUUUAAAAGUCUUAUAACUUUUUAUUUUUGUCCUCACUCGCCUCCAAGUUUUCUAAGAUGAUGCAAUGUCCAGCCAUCAACACAUUUGUGAAGGAAUUUUUACUCCCCAAAAGAGCGCCCCCCCAUGGCAGGAGAAAAAAGUCCAUUUUUUCUUGUCCCAUAAGGUGAAAAUACACAUUGUUGAGUGUCACGCCUGUACGCUUUGUCAAAAUGACCCAAAAUUUGACAAUCACGUGUAUCUCAAUAAGAUCUAUGAAAAAGUCAAUGCGCAAAUAUCUGGAAAAUGUACGGUUAAAGGGCUAUUUUGCAUUUUUUGGCGAUUCGCACACAUUGGAAUUUCGCUAAGUCCUCCUAAGGCUUUCGUCCCACUGACACCAAAUUUGCUCAGGCCAAUCUACACCCCAUGGCCAUUAAAAGUUGUACAAAUCAUGACGCUGCACCCCACGGUUUACCUUCUAGGGGGCGCCAAAGAUGACCCAAAUAUCCACAUUCUUAAAAGAAUCCACAUCCCCCCUCCCCCCAUGGCAGGAGAAAAAGUCAAGUUUUUCCUUCCCAUCGCUCAAUGGCUCAAUCGCAUCGCUCUCUCGGCAAAAGCGAAAGGUGGAUCCAUUUGGAUAUAUCCUAGCUGUGUUUGUGCCCUCACUCAUGGUCCAGACUUUUUUCAAAUAGGACAUGUAGUUUGUCUGCAGCGAGUGUUUUGGUAGAAACUGCGCCUCCCAUUCAUUAUAAUGGGAAAUGACCACAGACAAGUGCGCACUCCAUCUUUGGACCUUGAGUGUGACGCGAUCGGGAGGUGGAGGCGGUCGCGCUGGGGGCGGCACGACACGGCUCGGGCCCGACAGUGCCCCACCGGGGCCCUAGUUAUUAUUUUUCCUCCGCUUUAAACUGGAAAAUGGCCCACUUCCCACUGGCGAAAACUCAUGAAAUUUGGCAGGACGACCGGGCCUGGUGAAAAAUUCGAUAUUCUGAAGUCGCCCAAACAAGAAAAUGCAAAAUGGCUCCAUAGCGCCCCCUAAGGUGAAAAUUCACACUAUUGACUGUCACGCCUGUACGCUUUGUCAUAUUGACACAAAAAUUGACACACACAUGUAUCUCAAUAAGAUCUACAAAAAAGUCAGUGCGGGUGUAUCUGUCAAAUGUACGGUUAAAGGGUUAUUUUGCAUUUUUUGCAGAUCCGCACACAUUGGAAUUUCGCUAACUCCUCCGAAGGCUUUCGUUCCACCGGCACCACAUUUGCUCAGGCCAAUCUACACUCCAUGGCCAUUCAAAGUUGUACAAAUCAUAAUGCUGCACCCCAUGGUUUAGGUUCUAGGGGGCGCCAAAAAUAACCCAAAAAUCCACAUUCUUAAAAGUUUUAUAAAUUUUUUUUUUGUCCUCACUGGCCUCCAAGUUUUCUAGGAUGAUGCAAUGUCCAGCCAUCAACACAUUUGUGAAGGAAUUUUUACUCCCCAAAAGAGCGCCCCCCCAUGGCAGGAAUAAAAAGUCCAUUUUUUCUUGUCCCCUAAGGUGAAAAUACACAUUGUUGAGUGUCACGCCUGUACGCUUUGUCGUAUUGACAAAAAAUUUGACACACACGUGUAUCUCAAUAAGAUCUACGAAAAAGUCAAUGGGCGCGUAUCUGUAAAAUGUACGGCUAAAGGGCUAUUUUGCAUUUUUUGCCGAUUCGCACACAUUGGAAUGUGGCUAACUCCUCCUAAGGCUUUCGUCCCACUGACACCAAAUUUGCUCAGGCCAAUCUACACCCCAUGGCCAUUCAAAGUUGUAAAAAUCAUGCCGCUGCACCCCAUGGUUUACGUUCUAGGGGGCGCCAAAGAUGACCCAAAUAUCCACAUUCUUAAAAGUCGUUUUGGCCACUGCAGGAGUACAGAGUACUGCAGGAUACACACACACAGACACACACACACACAGACACACACACACACACACACACACACACACACACACACACCUCAGAGUCUGUUUUUUAGCACCUGCAAAAACAUGCUAUUUACAUAUUUGACAACAAUGCAGAGGCUUCCUUUUGCCCCUGAAAAAAAUCAAAUUUCUAACACAACUUGACUGCUCAUUUCUCCAAAAGACAACCAUGAAGCUCCAUCCAAACCUGAAGCAGGCAGUUGGUGCAUGUGUACAGUAACCUGAGGGGAGUGAGGUGACUGCUUAUGAGGAGAACAUGAGCAGUGAAGAUUCACCUUGGAGCGAGAACAGGGACGUGCACAUGAUUAUACGGGGGCAGGGGCUCAAGUUUUUUCCAGUCGUUUAUACAAUAUGGAAAUUAAUGUGAAAUUAAAAAACAAAGUAUUAAUAGAAAGGUAAUGACUGUCCUGUGUAGGUGACAGUGAUAUCCAAUAGGCUAGGCACUCACAAGGCUGGCUGUGGCAAGUGUAAGUGAAAGCAACACGCACUGGCAGGAAGAACAGCAAACGCCGAUGAAGGAAAAGGGUCUUUGCAGUGAUGGGCGUUACCAGAGAGGACGAUGGCCAGAGGACGCGAAUGGGACGGGGAGGCAGCGCGUUGGGGGGGGGGGGGGGGGGGGCGACACAGCUCGGGCCCGCCAGUGCCCCAACGGGGCCCUAGUUAGGGCCCGAGCGUAGCUGCUAAGCAGCUGCGAGAGCCCUCUUGUUCCUGUAGUUUCCUUCUUUUGUUAUUAGGGCCCGAGCGUAGCUGCUAAGCAGCUGCGAGAGCCCUAUUAUUCCCCAAGUGGUUUUUCUUUGUUUCUUUCUUUCUUCUUUUUCCUCCCCUUUGAACUGGAAAAUGGCCCACUUCCCACUGGCGAAAACUCAUGAAAUUUGGCAAGAUGACCGGGCCUGGUGAAAAAUUUGAUAUUCCGAAGUCGCCCAAACAAGAAAAUGCAAAAUGGCUCCAUAGCACGCCCCCUAAGGUGAAAAUUCACACUAUUGACUGUCACGCCUUUACGCUUUGUCAAAAUGACACAAAAAUUGACACACAUAUGUAUCUCAAUAAGAUCUACAAAAAAGUCAGUGCGGGCGUAUCUGUCAAAUGUAUGGUUAAAGGGCUAUUCCGCAUUUUUUGCCGAUCCGCACACAUUGGAAUUUCGCUAACUCCUCCGAAGGCUUUCGUUCCACCGGCACCACAUUUGCUCAGGCCAAUCUACACCCCAUGGCCAUUAAAAGUUAUUCAAAUCAUGACGCUGCACCCCACGGUUUACGUUCUAGGGGGCGCCAAAGAUAACCCAAAAAUCCACAUUUUUAAAAGUCUUAUAACUUUUUAUUUUUGUCCUCACUGGCCUCCAAGUUUUCUAGGAUGAUGCAAUGUCCAGCCAUCAACACAUUUGUGAAGGAAUUUUUACUCCCUAAAAGAGCGCCCCCCCAUGGCAGGAGAAAAAAGUCCAUUUUUUCUUGUCCCCUAAGGUGAAAAUACACAUUGUUGACUGUCACGCCUGUACGCUUUGGCAAAAUGACACAAAAAUUGACAAUCAUGUGUAUCUCAAUUAGAUCUACGAAAAAGUCAAAGAGCGCGUAUCUGUAUAAUGUACGGUAAAAGGGCUAUUUUGCAUUUUUUGCCGAUUCGCACACAUUGGAAUUUCGCUAACUCCUCCUAAGGCUUUCGUCCCACUGACACCAAAUUUGCUCAGGCCAAUCUACACUCCAUGGCCAUUCAAAGUUGUAAAAAUCAUGACGCUGCACCCCACGGUUUACGUUUUAGGGGGCGCCAAAGAUGACCCAAAUAUACAUUACAGUAGACAAAGUAGUUUUGCCCACUGAGUGGCGCCAAAGGGACUUGUCUGUGGAGUCUGUGAGUCACUAUUGGCCGUUUUUGACUACUUUAGAUUUUACCUUUAUAUUUCCUCUUACAAAAUUUUUACCUUGCCUUGCCUGGUAUCAUUUUUUUCAGCACAACCUCACCUGUGUCAAUUUACAGUUAUUUUAUCAUUUUGACAUACUAUAUUUACACAUUGGACCCAAAUUCACACACAAAACAUAAAAUCCGAGUGGAAAAAAGUAACGUUUUUACUGUGAAAACCACAAAUAUGUGUGAUGAACUGUUUUUAAAACUUAAACUUCAAAUAAAAAUUGUAAACUUCAAAACAUAUGCAAAUUUUUAACAAAGAACAUAGUAAUUUACCUCUAUUGACAUCAAAAUGCAGGCAAUGGCCCAGGUGUUCUUUGUAAAAUUAUUUACAAAACACUGUAUAGUCUCACAAAUGUCACUUUUUAUUUAUGCCACUACAAAAAAACAUGAUGUAAAUGAUGCAUGAUGUAAAACAUGAUGUAAAAAACUUGUGUAGAUCCUCCUCUAUGUUAGUCCAUGUGUAAUUUUUCCAUAAUUCUUUGUUUUUUGCAGCAUUUUUGUUAGUGUAACUGCAGAUUGUGCUGACAGUGUCUAUGGCAAAAAAAAAAAAAAAAACUGAAAAUGCCUCAACAUGAACCCCUGGUGGUCUCUGAGGGUGAAACCUGCUAACUGCUGCAGCUCUGUCAGCUUCAGUCUCCCAUGCAGAGCUCGGAGCCCAUGUGUGGCUCUGCACCCUUAGCAGCGUUGCUAACUCCUCAGUAAGGAAAGCCUGCUUCAUGUCAGAGUCUCUAAACUCCAGAAGAAGUCGAUAAAAGUCACUUUCUUUCUAAAAAAAAGUCGUUAGGGGGUCUGAAAAGUCAUUGAAUCUAACAACAAAGUCGCUAGGUUUGCAACUACGUGUCCCAGACUGCAUCCCUGCUGAGAGUCCCUCCCUCCCUUCUCAUAUUGCAGGAAGAACGUAAGUUCCCGCCCCUUGUCAAUCAGUCACCAUAUAAUUUUGGAUUGGUUGUUGUGGUGAAGUUUUCCACCAAUAGGAGAGAUGUUGUGGUGUGUAUUUUUUUUUCUUUGGCAAGCCUUUUCCGCCUGUAAGACCUGUCGCUAAUGUCUGCAUGCUAUGUUUUCCUGUCUCAUACAGCGCGAUCGAGCGCCGAACGUGAUCAAAAUAAGCAGAAAACAAGUAUCGCGGACAUAAUUUAUCAUAACUCUGGUUUUAUUUGGCCUAUCAACACAAUUUAAAAACUGGUAUAUAGGUUGAGGUCCUCACUUUUGAGAUAAGUUGAAACGGAGAGUCAACGAGGCUCCGUCUUGCAGCUACAUCCGGUUAAAUAUGUCAUGUGACUUGAACGCACACACACACACACACACAGACACACACACACACGCACACACACACACUCAGAGUCUGGUUUGUAGCACCUGCAAAAACAUGCUAUUUACAUAUUUGACAAGAAUGCAGAGGCUCCUUUUGCCCCUGAAAAAAAUCAAAUUUCAAACACAACUUGACUGGUCAUUUCUCUAAAAGACAACCAUGAAGCUCCAUCCAAACCUGAAGCAGGCAGUUGGUGCAUGUGUACAGUAACCUGAGGGGAGUGAGGUGACUGCUUCUGAGGAGAACAUGAGCAGUGAAGAUUUACCUUAGAGCUAGAACAGAGACGUGCACAUGAUUAUACAGGGGCAGGGGCUCAAGUUUUUUCCAGUCGUUUAUACAAUUUGGAAAUUAAUGUGAAAUUAAAAAACAAAGUAUUAAUAGAAAGGUAAUGACUGUCCUGUGUAGGUGACAGUGAUAUCCAAUAGGCUAGGCACUCACGAGGCUGGCUGUGGCAAGUGUAAGUGAAAGCAACACGCACUGGCAGGAAGAACAGCAAACGCCGAUGAAGGAAAAGGGUCUUUGCAGUGAUGGGCGUUACCAAAGAGGGCGAUGGCCAGAGGACACAAAUGGGACGGGGAGGCAGCGCGUUGGGGGGGGGACGCGACACAGCUCGGGCCCGCCAGUGCCCCAACGGGGUCCUAGUUAGGGCCCGAGCGUAGCUGCUAAGCAGCUGCGAGAGCCCUCUUGUUCCUGCAUGUUUCCUUCUUUCGUUAUUAUUUUUCCUCCGCUUUAAACUGGAAAAUGGCCCACUUCCCACUGGCGAAAACUCAGGAAAUUUGGCAGGACGACCGGGCCUGGUGAAAAAUUCGAUAUUCUGAAGUCGCCCAAACAAUAAAAUGCAAAAUGGCUCCAUAGCGCCCCCUAAGGUGAAAAUUCACAUGACGGCUGUACGCUUUGUCAUAUUGACACAAAAAUUGACACACACAUGUAUCUCAAUAAGAUCUACAAAAAAGUCAGUGCGGGCGUAUCUGUCAAAUGUACGGUUAAUGGGUUAUUUUGCAUUUUUUGCAGAUCUGCACACAUUGGAAUUUCGCUAACUCCUCCGAAGGCUUUCGUUCGACCGGCACCACAUUUGCGCAGGCCAAUCUACCCCCCAUGGCCAUUAAAAGUUGUACAAAUCAUGACGCUGCACCCCACGGUUUACGUUCUAGGGGGCGCCAAAGAUAACCCAAAAUCCACAUUCUUAAAAGUCUUAUAACUUUUUAUUUUUGUCCUCACUGCCCUCCAAGUUUUCUAGGAUGAUGCAAUGUCCAGCCAUCAACACAUUUGUGAAGGAAUUUUUACUCCCCAAAAGAGCGCCCCCCCAUGGCAGGAGAAAAAAGUCAAUUUUUUCUUGUCCCCUUACAUGAAAAUACACAUUGUUGAGUGUCACGCCUGAACGCUUUGUCAUAUUGACACAAAAAUUGACAAUCAUGUGUAUCUCAAUUAGAUCUACGAAAAAGUCAAAAAGCGCGUAUCUGUAUAAUGUACGGUUAAAGGGCUAUUUCGCAUUUUUUGCGGAUUCGCACACAUUGGAAUGUGGCUAUCUUCUCCUAAGGCUUUCGUCCCACCGAUACCAAAUUUGCUCAGGGCAAUCUACACCCCAUGGCCAUUCAAAGUUGUAAAAAUCAUGACGCUGCACCCCACGGUUUACGUUCUAGGGGGCGCCAAAGAUGACCCAAAAAUCCACAUUCUUAAAAGUCAUUUUGGCCACUGCAGGAGUACAGAGUACUGCAGUUCUAGGGGGCGCCAAAGAUGACCCAAAAAUCCACAUUCUUAAAAGUCUUUUUGGCCACUGCAGGAGUACAGAGUACUGCAGGAUACACACACAUAUACACACACACACACACACAGACACACACACACACACACUCAGAGUCUGUUUUUUAGCACCUGCAAAAACAUGCUGUUUACAUAUUUGACAAGAAUGCAGAGGCUUCCUUUUGCCCCUGAAAAAAAUCAGAUUUCAAACACAACUUGACUGUUCAUUUCUCCAAAAGACAACCAUGAAGCUCCAUCCAAACCUGAAGCAGAUAGUUGGUGCAUGUGUACAGUAACCUGAGGGGAGUGAGGUGACUAUUUCUGAGGAGAACAUGAGCAGUGAAGAUUCACCUUGGAGCUAGAACAGGGACGUGCACAUGAUUAUACAGGGGCAGGGGCUCAAGUCAUUUAUACAAUAUGGAAAUUAAUGUGAAAUUAAACCACAAAUAUGUGUGAUGAACUGUUUUUAAAACUUAAACUUCAAAUAAAAAUUGUAAACUUCAAAACAUAUGCAAAUUUUUAACAAAGAACAUAGUAAUUUACCUCUAUUUACAUCAAAAUGCAGGCAAUGGCCCAGGCGUUCUUUGUAAAAUUAUUUACAAAACACUGUAUAGUCUCACAAAUGUCACUUUUUAUUUAUGCCACUACAAAAAAACAUGAUGUAAAUGAUGCAUGAUGUAAAACAUGAUGUAAAAAACUUGUGUAGAUCCUCCUCUAUGUCAGUCCAUGUGUAAUUUUUCCAUAAUUCUUUGUUUUUUGCAGCAUUUUUGUUAGUGUAACUGCAGAUUGUGCUGACAAUCUAUGGCAAAAAAAAACAAAAACUGAAAAUGCCUCAACAUGAACCCCUGGUGGUCUCUGAGGGUGAAACCUGCUAACUGCUGCAGCUCUGUCAGCUUCAGUCUCCCAUGCAGAGCUCGGAGCGCAUGUGUGGCUCUGCACCCUUAGCAGCGUUGCUAACUCCUCAGUAAGGAAAGCCUGCUUCAUGUCAGAGUCUCUAAACUCCAGAAGAAGUCGAUAAAAGUCCCUUUCUUUCUAAAAAAAAGUCGUUAGGGGGUCUGAAAAGUCAUUGAAUCUAACAACAAAGUCGCUAGGUUUGCAACUACGUGUCCCAGACUGCAUCCCUGCUGAGAGUCCCUCCCUCCCUUCUCAUAUUGCAGGAAGAACGUAAGCGCCCGCCCCUUGUCAAUCAGUCACCAUAUAAUUUUGGAUUGGUUGUUGUGGUGAAGUUUUCCACCAAUAGGAGAGAUGUUGUGGUGUGUUUUUUUUUUCUUUUGGCAAGCCUUUUCCGCCUGUAAGACCUGUCGCUAAUGUGUGCAUGCUAUGUUUUCCUGUCUCAUACAGCGCGAUCGAGCGCCGAACGUGAUCAAAAUAAGCAGAAAAAAAGUAUCGCGGACAUAAUUUAUCAUAACUCUGGUUUUAUUUGGCCUAUCAACGCAAUUUAAAAACUGGUAUAUAGGUUGAGGUCCUCACUUUUGAGAUAAGUUGAAACGGAGAGUUAACGAGGCUCCGUCUUGCAGCUACAUCCGGUUAAAUAUGUCAUGUGACUUGAACGCUGGGGAGCGUCAAUCGAAUCGAAUCAAACCUAACUCUCAGAUGAAUCUUCAAAAUUCACCUCAGAAAUAUGCUUAUUAUUCUUCUCAGAGUACUGCAGGAUACACACACACACACACACACACACACACACACACACACACACACACACACACACACACACACACACACACACACACACACACUCAGAGUCUGUUUUUUAGCACCUGCAAAAACAUGCUAUUUACAUAUUUGACAAGAAUGCAGAGGCUUCCUUUUGCCCCUGAAAAAAAUCAAAUUUCAAACACAACUUGACUGCUCAUUUCUCCAAAAGACAACCAUGAAGCUCCAUCCAAACCUGAAGCAGGCAGUUGGUGCAUGUGUACAGUAACCUGAGGGGAGUGAGGUGACUGCUUCUGAGGAGAACAUGAGCAGUGAAGAUUCACCUUGGAGCUAGAACAGGGACGUGCACAUGAUAAUACAGGGGCAGGGGCUCAAGAUUUUUCCAGUCGUUUAUACAAUAAGGAAAUUAAUGUGAAAUUAAAAAACAAAGUAUGACUGUCCUGUGUAGGUGACAGUGAUAUCCAAUAGGCUAGGCACUCACGAGGCUGGCUGUGGCAAGUGUAAGUGAAAGCAACACGCACUGGCAGGAAGAACAGCAAACGCCGAUGAAGGAAAAGGGUCUUUGCAGUGAUGGGCGUUACCAGAGAGGGCGAUGGCCAGAGGACGCGAAUGGGACGGGGAGGCAGCGCGUUGGGGGGGGGGGGGGGGGGGGGCGCGACACGGCUCGGGCCCGCCAGUGCCCCAACGGGGCCCUAGUUAGGGCCCGAGCGUAGCUGCUAAGCAGCUGCGAGAGCCCUAUUAUUCCCCAAGUGGUUUUUCUUUGUUUCUUUCUUUAGGGCCCGAGCGUAGCUGCUAAGCAGCUGCGAGAGCCCUCUUGUUCCUGUAGUUUCCUUCUUUUGUUAUUAUUAUUAUUAUUUUUCCUCCCCUUUGAACUGGAAAAUGGCCCACUUCCCACUGGCGAAAACUCAUGAAAUUUGGCAGGACGACCGGGCCUGGUGAAAAAUUUGAUAUUCCGAAGUCGCCCAAACAAGAAAAUGCAAAAUGGCUCCAUAGCGCCCCCUAAGGUGAAAAUUCACACUAUUCACUGUCACGCCUGUACGCUUUGUCAAAAUGACACAAAAAUUGACACACACAUGUAUCUCAAUAAGAUCUACAAAAAAGUCAGUGCGGGCGUAUCUGUCAAAUGUACGGUUAAAGGGUUAUUUCGCAUUUUUUGCCGAUCCGCACACAUUGGAAUUUCGCUAACUCCUCCGAAGGCUUUCGUUCCACCGGCACCACAUUUGCUCAGGCCAAUCUACACCCCAUGGCCAUUAAAAGUUAUUCAAAUCAUGACGCUGCACCCCACGCUUUAGGUUCUAGGGGGCGCCAAAGAUAACCCUAAGAUCCACAUAUUUAAAAGUCUUAUAACUUUUUAUUUUUGCCCUCACUGGCCUCCAAGUUUUCUAGGAUGAUGCAAUGUCCAGCCAUCAACACAUUUGUGAAGGAAUUUUUACUCCCCAAAAGAGCGCCCCCCCAUGGCAGGAGAAAAAAGUCCAUUUUUUCUUGUCCCCUAAGGUGAAAAUACACAUUGUUGAGUGUAACACCUGUACGCUUUGUCAAAAUGACACAAAAAUUGACACACACAUGUAUCUCAAUAAGAUCUACAAAAAAGUCAAUGCGCGCGUAUCUGUCAAAUGUACGGUUAAAGGGUUAUUCCGCAUUUUUUGCCGAUCCGCACACAUUGGAAUUUCGCUAACUCCUCCAAAGGCUUUCGUUCCACCGGCACCACAUUUGCUCAGGCCAAUCUACACCCCAUGGCCAUUAAAAGUUAUUCAAAUCAUGACGCUGCACCCCACGCUUUAGGUUCUAGGGGGCGCCAAAGAUAACCCUAAGAUCCACAUAUUUAAAAGUCUUAUAACUUUUUAUUUUUGCCCUCACUGGCCUCCAAGUUUUCUAGGAUGAUGCAAUGUCCAGCCAUCAACACAUUUGUGAAGGAAUUUUUACUCGGCAAAAGAGCGCCCCCCCAUGGCAGGAGAAAAAAGUCAAUUUUUUCUUGUCCACUAAGGUGAAAAUACACAUUGUUGAGUGCUACGCCUGUAUGUUUUGUCGUAUUGACACAAAAUUUUACAUACACGUGUAUUUCAAUAAGAUCUUCGAAAAAGUCAAUGGCCACGUAUCUGUAAAAUGUACGGUUAAAGGGUUAUUUCGCAUUUUUUGCAGAUUCGCACACAUUGGAAUUUCGCUAAUUCCUCCGAAGGCUUUCGUUCCACCGGCACCACAUUUGCUCAGGCCAAUCUACACCCCAUGGCCAUUAAAAGUUAUUCAAAUCAUGACGCUGCACCCCACGGUUUAGGUUCUAGGGGGCGCCAAAUAUAACCCUAAAAUCCACAUAUUUAAAAGUCUUAUAACUUUUUAUUUUUGUCCUCACUGGCCUCCAUGUUUUCUAGGAUGAUGCAAUGUCCAGCCAUCAACACAUUUGUGAAGGAGUUUUUCUCUUUAAAAGAGCGCCCCCCAUGGCAGGAGAAUAAAGUCAAGUUUUUCCUGUUCAUCAUUCAAUGGCUCAAACGCACUGCUCUCUCGGCAAAAGCGAAAGGAGGAGCAACUUGCCAUUUGGAUAUAUCUUAGCUGUGUUUGUGCCCUCACUCAUGGUCCAGACUUUUUUCAAAUAGGACAUGGAGUUUUUCUGCAGCGAGCGUUUUGGUAGAAACUGCGCCUCCCGUUCAUUAUAAUGGUAAAUGACCACAAACAAGUGCGCACACCAUCUUUGGACCUUGAGUGUGACACGAUCGGGUGGGGGAGGCGGUCGCGCUGGGGGCGGCGCGACACGGCUCGGGCCCGCCAGUGCCCCAACGGGGCCCUAGUGUUAUUAUUAUUAUUAUUAUUUUUCCUCCCCUUUGAACUGGAAAAUGGCCCACUUCCCACUGGCGAAAACUCAUGAAAUUUGGCAGGACGACCGGGCCUGGUGAAAAAUUUGAUAUUCCGAAGUCGCCCAAACAAGAAAAUGCAAAAUGGCUCCAUAGCGCCCCCUAAGGUGAAAAUUCACACUAUUCACUGUCACGCCGGUACGCUUUGUCAAAAUGACACAAAAAUUGACACACACAUGUAUCUCAAUAAGAUCUACAAAAAAGUCAGUGCGGGCGUAUCUGUCAAAUGUACGGUUAAAGGGUUAUUUCGCAUUUUUUGCCGAUCCGCACACAUUGGAAUUUCGCUAACUCCUCCGAAGGCUUUCGUUCCACCGGCACCACAUUUGCUCAGGCCAAUCUACACCCCAUGGCCAUUAAAAGUUAUUCAAAUCAUGACGCUGCACCCCACGGUUUAGGUUCUAGGGGGCGCCAAAGAUAACCCUAAGAUCCACAUAUUUAAAAGUCUUAUAACUUUUUAUUUUUGCCCUCACUGGCCUCCAAGUUUUCUAGGAUGAUGCAAUGUCCAGCCAUCAACACAUUUGUGAAGGAAUUUUUACUCCCCAAAAGAGCGCCCCCCAUGGCAGGAGAAAAAAGUCCAUUUUUUCUUGUCCCCUAAGGUGAAAAUACACAUUGUUGAGUGUAACACCUGUACGCUUUGUCAAAAUGACACAAAAAUUGACACACACAUGUAUCUCAAUAAGAUCUACGAAAAAGUCAAUGCGCGCGUAUCUGUCAAAUGUACGGUUAAAGGGUUAUUCCGCAUUUUUUGCCGAUCCGCACACAUUGGAAUUUCGCUAACUCCUCCGAAGGCUUUCGUUCCACCGGCACCACAUUUGCUCAGGCCAAUCUACACCCCAUGGCCAUUAAAAGUUAUUCAAAUCAUGACGCUGCACCCCACGGUUUAGGUUCUAGGGGGCGCCAAAGAUAACUGUAAAAUCCACAUAUUUAAAAGUCUUAUAACUUUUUAUUUUUGUCCCCACUGGCCUCCAAGUUUUCUAGGAUGAUGCAAUGUCCAGCCAUCAACACAUUUGUGAAGGAAUUUUUACUCGCCAAAAGAGCGCCCCCCCAUGGCAGGAGAAAAAAGUCCAUUUUUUCUUGUCCACUAAGGUGAAAAUACACAUUGUUGAGUGCUACGCCUGUAUGUUUUGUCGUAUUGACACAAAAUUUUACAUACACGUGUAUUUCAAUAAGAUCUUCGAAAAAGUCAAUGGCCACGUAUCUGUAAAAUGUACGGUUAAAGGGUUAUUUCGCAUUUUUUGCAGAUUCGCACACAUUGGAAUUUCGCUAACUCCUCCGAAGGCUUUCGUUCCACCGGCACCACAUUUGCUCAGGCCAAUCUACACCCCAUGGCCAUUAAAAGUUAUUCAAAUCAUGACGCUGCACCCCACGGUUUAGGUUCUAGGGGGCGCCAAAGAUAACCCUAAAAUCCACAUAUUUAAAAGUCUUAUAACUUUUUAUUUUUGUCCUCACUGGCCUCCAUGUUUUCUAGGAUGAUGCAAUGUCCAGCCAUCAACACAUUUGUGAAGGAGUUUUUCUCUUUAAAAGAGCGCCCCCCCAUGGCAGGAGAAUAAAGUCAAGUUUUUCCUGUUCAUCAUUCAAUGGCUCAAACGCACUGCUCUCUCGGCAAAAGCGAAAGGAGGAGCAACUUGCCAUUUGGAUAUAUCUUAGCUGUGUUUGUGCCCUCACUCAUGGUCCAGACUUUUUUCAAAUAGGACAUGGAGUUUUUCUGCAGCGAGCGUUUUGGUAGAAACUGCGCCUCCCGUUCAUUAUAAUGGUAAAUGACCACAAACAAGUGCGCACACCAUCUUUGGACCUUGAGUGUGACGCGAUCGGGUGGGGGAGGCGGUCGCGCUGGGGGCAGUGUGACACGGCUCGGGCCCGCCAGUGCCCCAACGGGGCCCUAGUUCUUCUUUUUCCUCCCCUUUGAACUGGAAAAUGGCCCACUUCCCACUGGCGAAAACUCAUGAAAUUUGGCAGGAUGACCGGGCCUGGUGAAAAAUUUGAUAUUCCGAAGUCGCCCAAACAAGAAAAUGCAAAAUGGCUCCAUAGCGCCCCCUAAGGUGAAAAUUCACACUAUUGACUGUCACGCCUUUACACUUUGUCAAAAUGACACAAAAAUUGACACACAUAUGUAUCUCAAUAAGAUCUACAAAAAAGUCAGUGCGGGCGUAUCUGUCAAAUGUACGGUUAAAGGGUUAUUCCGCAUUUUUUGCCGAUCCACACACAUUGGAAUUUCGCUAACUCCUCCGAAGGCUUUCUUUCCACCGGCACCACAUUUGCUCAGGCCAAUCUACACCCCAUGGCCAUUAAAAGUUAUUCAAAUCAUGACGCUGCACCCCACGGUUUAGGUUCUAGGGGGCGCCAUAGAUAACCCUAAAAUCCACAUAUUUAAAAGUCUUAUAACUUUUUAUUUUUGCCCUCACUGGCCUCCAAGUUUUCUAGGAUGAUGCAAUGUCCAGCCAUCAACACAUUUGUGAAGGAAUUUUUACUCCCCAAAAGAGCGCCCCCCAUGGCCGGAGAAAAAAGUCAAUUUUUUCUUGUCCCCUAAGGUGAAAAUUCACAUUGUUGAGUGUCACGCCUGUACGCUUUGUCAUAUUGACACAAAAUUUGACACACACAUGUAUCUCAAUAAGAUCUACGAAAAAGUCAACGCGCGCGUAUCUGUCAAAUGUACGGUUAAAGGGUUAUUCCGCAUUUUUUGCUGAUCCGCACACAUUGGAAUUUCGCUAACUCCUCCUAAGGCUGGCGUUCCACCGGCACCACAUUUGCUCAGGCCAAUCUACACCCCAUGGCCAUUAAAAGUUAUUCAAAUCAUGACGCUGCACCCCACGGUUUAGGUUCUAGGGGGCGCCAAAGAUAAACCUAAAAUCCACAUAUUUCAAAGUCUUAUAACUUUUUAUUUUUGUCCUCACUGGCCUCCAAGUUUUCUAGGAUGAUGCAAUGUCCAGCCAUCAACACAUUUGUGAAGGAAUUUUUACUCCCCAAAAGAGCGCCCCCCCAUGGCAGGAGAAAAAAGUCAAUUUUUUCUUGUCCCGUAGGGUGAAAAUUCACAUUGUUGAGUGUGACACCUGUACGCUUUGUUAUAUUGACACAAAAUUUGACAAUCACGUGUAUCUCAAUAAGAUCUACGAAAAAGUCAACGCGUGCGUAUCUGUCAAAUGUACGGUUAGAGGGCUAUUUUGCAUUUUUUGCCGAUUCGCACACAUUGGAAUGUGGCUAACUCCUCCUAAGGCUUUUGUCCCACUGAAACCAAAUUUGCUCAGGCCAAUCUACACCCCAUGGCCAUUCAAAGUUGUAAAAAUCAUGACGCUGCACCCCACGGUUUACAUUCUAGGGGGCGCCAAAGAUGACCAAAAAUUCCACAUUCUUAAAAGAAUCCACAUUCUCCCCCCCCCCAUGGCAGGAGAAAAAUAUCAAGUUUUUCCUGCCCAUCGCUCAAUGGCUCAAUCGCAUCGCUCUCCAGGCAACACCGUAACGAGGAGCAACCUGCCAUUUGGAUAUAUCCCAGCUGUGUUUGUGCCCUCACUCAUGGUCCAGACUUUUUUCAAAUAGGACAUGAAGUUUGGCAGCUCGGGCCCGCCAGUGCCCCAACGGGGUCCUAGUUAUUUUUCCUCCGCUUUAAACUGGAAAAUGGCCCACUUCCCACUGGCGAAAACUCAUGAAAUUUGGCAGGACGACCGGGCCUGGUGAAAAAUUCGAUAUUCUGAAGUCGCCCAAACAAUAAAAUGCAAAAUGGCUCCAUAGCGCCCCCUAAGGUGGAAAUUCACACUAUUGACUGUCACGCCUUUACGCUUUGUCAUAUUGACACAAAAAUUGACACACACAUGUAUCUCAAUAAGAUCUACAAAAAAGUCAGUGCGGGCGUAUCUGUCAAAUGUACGGUUAAAGGGUUAUUGCGCAUUUUUUGCCGAUCCGCACACAUUGGAAUUUCGCUAACUCCUCCGAAGGCUUUCGUUCCACCGGCACCACAUUUGCUCAGGCCAGUCUACACCCCAUGGCCAUUAAAAGUUGUACAAAUCAUGACGCUGCACCCCACGGUUUAGGUUCUAGGGGGCGCCAAAGAUAACCCAAAAAUCCACAUUCUUAAAAGUCUUAUAACUUUUUAUUUUUGUCCUCACUGCCCUCCAAGUUUUCUAGGAUGAUGCAAUGUCCAGCCAUCAACACAUUUGUGAAGGAAUUUUUACUCCCCAAAAGAGCGCCCCCCCAUGGCAGGAGAAAAAAGUCAAUUUUUUCUUGUCCCCUUACAUGAAAAUACACAUUGUUGAGUGUCACGCCUGAACGCUUUGUCAUAUUGACACAAAAAUUGACAAUCAUGUGUAUCUCAAUUAGAUCUACGAAAAAGUCAAAGAGCACGUAUCUGUAUAAUGUACGGGUAAAGGGCUAUUUCGCAUUUUUUGCCGAUUCGCACACAUUGGAAUGUGGCUAUCUCCUCCUAAGGCUUUCGUCCCACUGAUACCAAAUUUGCUCAGGGCAAUCUACACCCCAUGCCCAUUCAAAGUUGUAAAAACCAUGAUGCUGCACCCCACGGUUUACGUUCUAGGGGGCGCCAAAGAUGACCCAAAAAUCCACAUUCUUAAAAGUCAUUUUGGCCACUGCAGGAGUACAGAGUACUGCAGUUCUAGGGGGCGCCAAAGAUGACCCAAAAAUCCACAUUCUUAAAAGUCUUUUUGGCCACUGCAGGAGUACAGAGUACUGCAGGAUACACACACAUAUACACACACGCCAACACACACACACACACACACACACACACACACACACACACACACACACUCAGAGUCUGUUUUUUAGCACCUGCAAAAACAUGCUGUUUACAUAUUUGACAAGAAUGCAGAGGCUUCCUUUUGCCCCUGAAAAAAAUCAAAUUUCAAACACAACUUGACUGUUCAUUUCUCCAAAAGACAACCAUGAAGCUCCAUCCAAACCUGAAGCAGAUAGUUGGUGCAUGUGUACAGUAACCUGAGGGGAGUGAGGUGACUAUUUCUGAGGAGAACAUGAGCAGUGAAGAUUCACCUUGGAGCUAGAACAGGGACGUGCACAUGAUUAUACAGGGGCAGGGGCUCAAGUUUUUUCCAGUCAUUUAUACAAUAUGGAAAUUAAUGUGAAAUUAAAAAACAAAGUAUUAAUAGAAAGGUUAUGACUGUCCUGUGUAGAUGACAGUGAUAUCCAAUAGGCUAGGCACUCACGAGGCUGGCUGUGGCAAGUGUAAGUGAAAGCAACACGCACUGGCAGGAAGAACAGCAAACGCUGAUGAAGGAAAGGGUCUUUGCAGUGAUGGGCGUUACCAGAGAGGACGAUGGCCAGAGGACGCGAAUGGGACGGGGAGGCAGCGCGUUGGGGGGGGCAGCGCGACACGGCUCGGGCCCGCCAGUGCCCCAACGGGGCCCUAGUUAUUAUUUUUCCUCCCCUUUGAACUGGAAAAUGGCCCACUUCCCACUGGCGAAAACUCAUGAAAUUUGGCAGGACGACCGGGCCUGGUGAAAAAUUUGAUAUUCCGAAGUCGCCCAAACAAGAAAAUGCAAAAUGGCUCCAUAGCGCCCCCUAAGGUGAAAAUUCACACUAUUCACUGUCACGCCGGUACGUUUUGUCAAAAUGACACAAAAAUUGACACACACAUGUAUCUCAAUAAGAUCUACAAAAAAGUCAGUGCGGGCGUAUCUGUCAAAUGUACGGUUAAAGGGUUAUUUCGCAUUUUUUGCCGAUCCGCACACAUUGGAAUUUCGCUAACUCCUCCGAAGGCUUUCUGUCCACCGGCACCACAUUUGCUCAGGCCAAUCUACACCCCAUGGCCAUUAAAAGUUAUUCAAAUCAUGACGCUGCACCCCACGGUUUAGGUUCUAGGGGGCGCCAAAGACAACCCUAAAAUCCACAUAUUUAAAAGUCUUAUAACUUUUUAUUUUUGUCCUCACUGCCCUCCAAGUUUUCUAGGAUGAUGCAAUGUCCAGCCAUCAACACAUUUGUGAAGGAAUUUUUACUCCCCAAAAGAGCGCCCCCCCAUGGCAGGAGAAAAAAGUCCAUUUUUUCUUGUCCCCUAAGGUGAAAAUACAUAUUGUUGAGAUUCACGCCUAUACGCUUUGUCAUAUUGACACAAAAUUUGACAAUCAUGUGUAUCUCAAUUAGAUCUACGAAAAAGUCAAAGAGCGCGUAUCUGUAUAAUGUACGGUUAAAGGGCUAUUUUGCAUUUUUUGCCGAUUCGCACACAUUGGAAUGUGGCUAUCUCCUCCUAAGGCUUUCGUCCCACC